GGGGAAUUUUCCGCAAUGGGCGAAAGCCUGACGGAGCAAGACCGCGUGGGGGAGGAAGGUUCUUGGAUUGUCAACCCCUUUUCUCAGGGAAGAACAAAAUGACGGUACCUGAGGAAAAAGCAUCGGCUAACUCCGUGCCAGCAGCCGCGGUAAUACGGGGGAUGCAAGCGUUAUCCGGAAUGAUUGGGCGUAAAGAGUCCGUAGGUAGUCAAUCAAGUCUGCUGUUAAAGAGCGAGGCUUAACUUCGUAAAGGCAGUGGAAACUGUAAGACUAGAGUGUAGUAGGGGCAGAGGGAAUUCCUGGUGUAGCGGUGAAAUGCGUAGAGAUCAGGAAGAACACCGGUGGCGAAGGCGCUCUGCUGGGCUAUAACUGACACUGAGGGACGAAAGCUAGGGGAGCGAAUGGGAUUAGAUACCCCAGUAGUCCUAGCGGUAAACGAUGGAAACUAGGUGUGGCCUGUAUCGACCCGGGCCGUGCCGAAGCUAACGCGUUAAGUUUCCCGCCUGGGGAGUACGCACGCAAGUGUGAAACUCAAAGGAAUUGACGGGGGCCCGCACAAGCGGUGGAGUAUGUGGUUUAAUUCGAUGCAACGCGAAGAACCUUACCAGGACUUGACAUCUCUGGAAUCCUGCCGAAAGGUGGGAGUGCCGUAAGGAACCAGAAGACAGGUGCUGCAUGGCUGUCGUCAGCUCGUGUCGUGAGAUGUUGGGUUAAGUCCCGCAACGAGCGCAACCCUCGUCGUUAGUUGCCAUCAUUAAGUUGGGAACUCUAGCGAGACUGCCGGUGACAAACCGGAGGAAGGUGAGGAUGACGUCAAGUCAGCAUGGCCCUUACGUCCUGGGCGACACACGUACUACAAUGCGAGGGACAGAGAGCAGCCAACCCGCGAGGGAGAGCGAACCUCUUAAACCCUGGCACAGUUCAGAUUGCAGGCUGCAACUCGCCUGCAUGAAGGAGGAAUCGCUAGUAAUUGCAGGUC
rnacentral:rRNA from 1 species